AUUGAACGCUGGCGGCAUGCUUUACACAUGCAAGUCGAACGGCAGCACGGGGGCAACCCUGGUGGCGAGUGGCGAACGGGUGAGUAAUACAUCGGAACGUGCCCAGUUGUGGGGGAUAACCUAGCGAAAGUUAGGCUAAUACCGCAUAAGCUCGGGAGAGGAAAGCGGGGGAUCGCAAGACCUCGCGCGACUGGAGCGGCCGAUGUCCGAUUAGCUAGUUGGUGGGUAAAGGCUUACCAAGGCGACGAUCGGUAGCUGGUCUGAGAGGAUGAUCAGCCACACUGGGACUGAGACACGGCCCAGACUCCUACGGGUGGCUG
rnacentral:rRNA from 1 species